AUGAACGCUAGCGACAGGCCUAACACAUGCAAGUCGAGGGGCAGCACAAGGAGCAAUCUGAGGUGGCGACCGGCGCACGGGUGAGUAACACGUAUGCAACCUGCCUGUAAGCGGGGAAUAACCCGUUGAAAGACGGACUAAUACCGCAUAAUACUAAAUUACUGCAUGGUAAUUUAUUUAAACAUUUAUGGCUUACAGAUGGGCAUGCGCAUGAUUAGCUAGUUGAAGAGGUAACGGCUCCCCAAGGCAACGAUCAUUAGGGGUUCUGAGAGGAAGGUCCCCCACACUGGUACUGAGACACGGACCAGACUCCUACGGGAGGCAGCAGUGAGGAAUAUUGGUCAAUGGACGAGAGUCUGAACCAGCCAAGUCGCGUGCAGGAAGAAUGUCCUAUUGGAUUGUAAACUGCUUUUGCAGGGGAAUAAAGUGCAUCACGUGUGAUGUUUUGUAUGUACUCUGCGGAUAAGGAUCGGCUAACUCCGUGCCAGCAGCAGC
rnacentral:rRNA from 1 species